UGUCCCAAGGGACACUUUUGAAGUUCAAGGAUUCCCAACUCUGUACUUCAGAUCUGCAAAUGAUAACUUGAAGCAGUAUGAAGGGAACCGAACAAAGGAGGACAUUAUUGACUUUAUUCAGAAAAGCCGGGAUAAAUCUCCUCUAGACGACUUGGCUGAACCAGAAUCUACCAAACCUGAAACAGUAAAUUCAAAUUCAGCCAAGGAUGAGCUAUGAAGAGGCUUUACUUCCAAGGAGGGCGUCAACGAGCUUUCUACAGUAGCUGAUUAGAUUUGGUUUUGUGCAAUUAGCCAUGAGAUCCACAUAGGUGUAAUGGACCGUGUUUUAUAUCAGCAAAUUUCAUAUCCCUUUCAAAAUUUCA